rnacentral:rRNA from 1 species
UACGUAGGGGGCGAGCGUUGUCCGGAAUUAUUGGGCGUAAAGCGCGUGCAGGCGGUUGUUUAAGUUCGUGGUGAAAGACCGGGGCUCAACCCCGGAGCGUCCGCGAAGACUGGACGACUGGAGUGUCGGAGAGGAGUGCGGAAUACCUGGUGUAGCGGUGGAAUGCGUAGAGAUCAGGUGGAACACCGAUGGCGAAGGCAGCACUCUGGCCGAAUACUGACGCUGAGACGCGAAAGCGUGGGGAGCGAGCGGG